UUGCCUGCCUCACUCACGACGGCUUUUGCCUAUUCCCUGCCUGUACUGUUGCCAUUUUUGGACCUACCGCGUAUGACCUUCUGCCUGGCCCUGGACCCAGCUACCUGCCUCCUCCUCCUAUGGUCCGUUUCAUUAAACCCCUGCUGCGGUUUUGCUAUCCACAAGGUUUGCUAUCCACCUGGAUUCAGCUGGAUUCAGCUGCUCUUCUCUGGUCUAUGGUCCAGGAGGCUUUCAUCUCUAGACCGCUGAUGCUGAGGGAGGUUAUAGGGUGGUUUUGGAAAUGUUUUACCAGAUGGUGUCAUACAGCAAUGUCUCAUGUUGAAGGAUGCUCUUCAACCCCACAUCCCCUUGACUUCCACUCCUCCCUCCUUCAACACCUCCGCUCUCUCUCCUCCCAGGUUUGUUACCCCAUACAAACAAGAUAAAGCAAUGUCUCAUGUUGAAGGAUGCUCUUCAACCCCACAUCCCCUUAACUGCCACUCCUCCCUCCUUCAACACCUCCUCCUCUCUCUCUCCUCCCAGGACACCAUACAUACACAGUGUGUGUGUGUGAGGAGACAUCUGAGGCUCAUAUUGUUCUUGUUUCCCAGAAUUCCAUGCUGCUCGCUCCCGGUGCUUAACAUAGUUGGCAGUUCUCUUCAUCCUCCUAACUACACAGUAUGGCCUUUUUUUUUUUU
ensembl:lncRNA